UACGUAGGGUGCAAGCGUUGUCCGGAAUUAUUGGGCGUAAAGAGCUCGUAGGCGGUUUGUCGCGUCUGCUGUGAAAACUCGGGGCUUAACUCCGGGCCUGCAGUGGGUACGGGCAGACUAGAGUGCGGUAGGGGAGACUGGAAUUCCUGGUGUAGCGGUGAAAUGCGUAGAUAUCGAGAGGAACACCUGCGGCGAAGGCGGGUUGCUGGGCUGACACUGACGCUGAACUGCGAAAGCUAGGGGAGCGAACGGG
rnacentral:rRNA from 1 species